rnacentral:rRNA from 1 species
ACAGAGGGCGCGAGCGUUGUCCGGAAUCACUGGGCGUAAAGGGCGCGUAGGCGGCGCGGUAAGUCACUUGUGAAAUCUCUGGGCUUAACUCAGAACGGCCAAGUGAUACUGCAGUGCUAGAGUGUGGAAGGGGCAAUCGGAAUUCUUGGUGUAGCGGUGAAAUGCGUAGAUAUCAAGAGGAACACCUGAGGUGAAGACGGGUUGCUGGGCCAACACUGACGCUGAUGCGCGAAAGCCAGGGGAGCAAACGGGA